GUUAAUAUUCCUGGACUUUUUAUAAGUGGUGAAGUGGGGACGAAGAAGGCUAGGUGAGCCAGGCGUUGGUUGUCCUGGUACUUGCAUGUAGGGGGGAAGACUUGGCAAAUCCGGUUUUCCAUAACUCUGAGGUGCGAAGUGGUUCUGACCUUUUGGUACAGAGAAGUCAUUGAUGCCCGGCUUCCAGGAAAAGCUGCUAGCCAUAACUUAUAGAGAACCGUACCGCAAACCGACACAGGUGGACAGGUAGAGAAUACUAAGGCGCUUGAGAGAACUCGGGUGAAGGAACUAGGCAAAAUGGUACCGUAACUUCGGGAGAAGGUACGCCCUUUCUGGUGAUGGGAUUUACUUUCAGAGCUGGAGAGGGCCGCAGAGACCAGGUGGCUGCGACUGUUUAUUAAAAACACAGCACUCUGCAAAUUCGUAAGAAGACGUAUAGGGUGUGACGCCUGCCCGGUGCCGGAAGGUUAAUUGAUGGGGUUAUCUUCGGAGAAGCUCUUGAUCGAAGCCCCGGUAAACGGCGGCCGUAACUAUAACGGUCCUAAGGUAGCGAAAUUCCUUGUCGGGUAAGUUCCGACCUGCACGAAUGGCGUAACGAUGGCCACACUGUCUCCACCCGAGACUCAGUGAAAUUGAAAUCGCUGUGAAGAUGCAGUGUACCCGCGGCUAGACGGAAAGACCCCGUGAACCUUUACUAUAGUUUUGCACUGGACUUUGAUGAUGACUGUGUAGGAUAGGUGGGAGGCUGUGAAGUGAGGACGCUAGUUCUCAUGGAGCCGCCCUUGAAAUACCACCCUGUUGUUAUUGAGGUUCUAACUUGGUCCAGUAAUCCUGGAUGAGGACAGUGUAUGAUGGGUAGUUUGACUGGGGCGGUCUCCUCCCAAAGAGUAACGGAGGAGCACAAAGGUACCCUCGGUACGGUCGGACAUCGUACCAAGAGUGUAAAGGCAAAAGGGUGCUUGACUGCGAGAGUGACGGCUCGAGCAGGAACGAAAGUUGGUCUUAGUGAUCCGGUGGUUCUGAAUGGAAGGGCCAUCGCUCAACGGAUAAAAGGUACUCCGGGGAUAACAGGCUGAUACCGCCCAAGAGUUCAUAUCGACGGCGGUGUUUGGCACCUCGAUGUCGGCUCAUCACAUCCUGGGGCUGAAGCAGGUCCCAAGGGUAUGGCUGUUCGCCAUUUAAAGUGGUACGCGAGCUGGGUUUAGAACGUCGUGAGACAGUUCGGUCCCUAUCUGCCGUGGGCGUAGGAAAAUUGAGAGGAGCUGCUCCUAGUACGAGAGGACCGGAGUGGACGAACCUCUGGUGCACCGGUUGUCACGCCAGUGGCAUGGCCGGGUAGCUAAGUUCGGACGGGAUAACCGCUGAAAGCAUCUAAGCGGGAAGCCUCCCUCAAGAUGAGUUUUCCCAUGAAGCCCGUUGAAGACUACGACGUUGAUAGGCAAGGUGUGGAAGCGCAGUAAUGCGUGAAGCUAACUUGUACUAAUUGGCUGAUUGUCUUGACCAUAUAAUCUGAG
rnacentral:rRNA from 1 species